UUAUCAAUAAUGACCUGCUAUCAGAACAACACAUGCCUUAUCAUAAUGACCUGCUAUCAGAACAACACAUGCCUUAUCAAUAAUGACCUGCUAUCAGAACAACACAUACCUUAUCAAUAAUGACCUGCUAUCAGAACAACACAUGCCUUAUCAAUAAUGACCUGCUAUCAGAACAACACAUACCUUAUCAAUAAUGACCUGCUAUCAGAAUGUAUUUUACUCCCCAUCCCCAUCUUAUGGUCAGGGUUGGCUAGUUUACUUUCUAAAUGUAAUCCAUGUCUGCCAAACCCUGCUUAUGGUAAACAUUGCUAAGAUGAUAGCAGAUAACCAUUAUCUGAUCAAAUAAAUACAAGUUUAAGAGGAUUAUCAGUGUUUUCAAGUCUUGUUUUCUACUUCCUUCCAUCCUGCAUAAUUUCCAUUGCUUCUUUCUGCGCUUGUUUUGGUGAUGCAGGACAGAAUUGAUUCAUAUUGUAGAAGAUGCAAUAAUGUAUUUGCCUUAAAGAAGAUAAUAUAUGUUGUCUUAUGGAGGAAAAGCACCGGGGCUAAUUUGUGCUUGUUAAUUAACGGCACACACACACAUACACAUAGGGUUAGAUGGCUCCCAGGGUGAUGACUAGGUUUGGGUGGUUUCCAGAUUUUAACAUCGUCAAACCGUCCUUCUGUCAUCCUGGGAUUUACAGUAUUACCGGCUUAGUACACAAGGGGGCGUCAAAAAAAACAAGCAAAAAAUACACUUUGGCAUCUGUUACCAGAAUGUUAACAAAAGUAGCACAAGUAAUUGAGAAUUUCCAUGGAUGCUGCUAGCUAAAUAUGCUAAUGAGUGCAAAGACAGGCAAUCCAGCUCAUAAAGUCACACAUAUAUAGGUAGGAGCUACGGAAAUGUAAUUUUUGGUGAGUUUGGAAAUGUACAAGCGAGUGUGAACGAAAGACAUUAUGCAAAUGAACAAAGUUUUGACGCAUGCUUGUCUAGAGGAAGAACAGUACUGGCUCUGAAGCAGCAUGUAUACACGCUGUGUCUGUGUGGAGUCUGGAGUCGCUAAUGCAAGAGGCCUGCCUGCUGUGCUCGGAGAAGAGGGGGGAGGAGCAGAUAGGCUGAGAACGAAGAGGAGAAAAAAAACGCAAGGAUAUCAAAAGAUAGCAGUGGCAGCUGUACAAAUAAUGAAUCCAAAGAGCUAUGACUUCUCAAACACGGCAGAAAGCUUACACAAUGAAUAUGUUUACAUACACAGUAAUACAUCAAUAUUAAACUCAUUAUGGCAGUAGGCCGUGUAAACACCUUACAUUACUUAUCUUAAUUGGCGUUCAGGUCAUAACCGAAGUGAGCAUACGCCGAUUAAAACACCUGGUUUUCUGAUCAAUCCUUCAAAUGAUUAGGACACGUACAUGGUUUAAUCAGCGUUCCAGUGGGGUAGUUGAUCUGUGUAUGUGCCAGCGCUGGUAGCUCGAUCUGAGUGAAAGAGUGAAGUGAGUUCCGAAAAACUGAAAGUGUAAAUAGUUUUCACAUACAAACUUGACAGAAUCAAAAUCUUUGCAAAAAUAUCAUUGGUAAAAAGUUAGUUUUGAUUUUCUGCAUUUAUCAAAGCAUGUAAACAUUUUGAACAAAUGAUUCUAUAACCUGAACUAUCCACAAUCGCAUUAUUGUGUGCAUGUAACCGUGCUCAAUAUGAUGCCUCGUUACCGUAUGAAUUCAGUAACUUAGACUAGCAAGUUAAAUGUAGGGGGUGCAUUAACGCAUCAUUUUUUACGAAGGAAAAAAAGAUAAAACGCAUAAGAAAUCUUGCUGUGUUUUUCGUAAACACAGAUCUAAACGGGUUCUUAUUUUAAUUUCUGCUCGGUAUCUGACUCAUUUUGUGCUUCAGUUGCUGGGAUGAGAAUUCACUAAUGGUCAGCAGAUAGUGCUCUGACUGAUGUGUUGCUACUUUUCUUCUGCACUUUUUCUCUAUGUGUAGCCAGCCUACUUUUUUCCGGUGAAAUUCAAGAUGAACUUUAAGCUUAAUAUUAGGACAUGUAGCUGGCUACGUUCUUUCUAUGAUAAACAGAAAUAUGAUGGCCAUGCAUCGUUUUAGCUUUUUGAUUGUAGACUUAUUUACUUGUGGCUGCCAGCCAAGUCUGUUAUCAUCUGAUGAAAAUGAAGCUAUUUUCUGCCGAAUGUGUUGGACUGAUGUAUUUUCUGUGAAGGAAAGCUGUAGUUGUACGUCCCUGAUUUACUCUAUUGAAGCAAAAAAAAACACUUGACUUUCAAUAUCAAAAGCGAUCCCUGUCAAUACACAGCCGUUUUCUCCCGUUGUGCUAUUUACAAACAAACACCUCUACCGUCCUGGGGAACUGUGCUGAGCUUCAGAAUGUCAAAUAAUGUGACAUGUGAAAUGAAGAACGCAAUCUGCUUUAUCUACUAAAGUUUUGCACAAGUUAACUGCAAGUAUUUGCUUAAAAAGUAGCUACAAAUAUUAUUUUUGUUAUUGAAAAAACUUCAACUUAAUAGUUUCAAUAGUAUUGACAGUGUUGAAAAACCAUCUUGUCACUAUUUCCAAAUACUCCGGUACACAACCCGGCGAUGACCUCUGCUCCAUUGUUAGUGUGAUGAUGAUAAUGAUACUGUGUUAUUCAUACCGACCCUCUGUAGUGAAGAGUUGGGGAGAAAAGGAACCCGGUAUGUAUUAUGUUUUGUUUAUGUUUUGUUUUCAUGGCUGACUUUCAAGAUGCGCAUCCUCAGUGCUUUGUGUGCUAACUGAAUGCAAUAAAGUAUUUUUUUUUACUUUGGAACAUUGUCUGGAUGAUAACCUGAUGUUUCUCCACAAUUCUCCACACUUCCUUCAGAAAUAGGAUAUAUCUCAGAGAAUCUCACACCUUGUUCAGACAUCAUUCAUUCAGUGUAUGCCUGUGAAUGUACAUAUCGCUCAUCAAAUCCUGUCACAUUCUUCAUAUGCUCACCAGUCACUUCAACCAUGUGUUCACCUUACAUUAGACAGAUCUAUUUCUGUUCAAGGCAGCUAGCUAUUCUCUGAAUUAUUUGAGUAAAUGAUGAGUGUUGUUUGUAAGCAUCAUUAGCAUGUACACUACUUGACCAAAAAUAUAUGGACACCUGCUCGUCGAAAAUCUCAUUCCAAAAUCAUUGUCAUUCAUAUGGGUUGGGUCCCCCCUCGGGUGCUAUAACAGCCUCCUCUCUUCUGGGAAGGCUUUCCACUAGAUGUUGGAACAUUGCUGCAGGGACUUGCUUCCAUUCAGCCACAAGAGCAUUAGUGAGGUCGAGCACUGACGUAGGGUGAUUAGGCCUGGCUCACAGUCGGCGUUCAAAUUCAUCACGAAGGUGUUCGAUGGGGUUGAGGUCAGGGCUCUGUGCAGGCCAGUCAAGUACUUUGACACCGAUCUCAAC
ensembl:lncRNA